rnacentral:rRNA from 1 species
UACAGAGGUCCCAAGCGUUGUUCGGAUUUAUUGGGCGUAAAGGGUGCGUAGGCGGCGGAGUAAGUUGGGUGUGAAAUCCCGGGGCUCAACCUCGGAAUUGCAUUCAAUACUGCUUCGCUCGAGUACUGGAGAGGAGACUGGAAUUUACGGUGUAGCAGUGAAAUGCGUAGAUAUCGAGAGGAACACCUGCGGCGAAGGCGGGUAGCUGGGCCGACACUGACGCUGAGGCGCGAAAGCCAGGGGAGCGAACGGG